UUUUCCUAAUUUUGGUUUUGAAUAAUUUGUGGAUGUCCACAGAAGGUUUAAAAGGUGAAUUAAUAUGAAUAUCACCUACUACAGAAGAAUUUUCCGAAAAGAUACAAAAAAGUCAAAAAAUUACACUCAACAUUUUUAUUUUCGAUCACAAUUUCAAUCUUAAAAUUUCAAAAAACUUUAUUUAAAAAAUAUUUAAUAAAAUUUAAAAAAAAACUUCAAACGGGAAAAUAUAUCCACCAAGAACGACUGGACUGAUGUUUAUGAUCUUGCAUUUUUUUGGAUUCGUGUUCUUUCUGAAUAUUGUAUAGUGACUAUAAAAACGACCAAAAAAACAAAUCAGGGAUAGAAAUAAACGUGCCAUGUUAUGUAUGUUGGCUCCGUUCAUUGGUACGAAAAGAUGGCGUUGUGUGUGCAUUAAUCUAAUAGUAGCAAGUAGCCACGUUGCAAAAAAUAUGGCGCAUUUUAACAUUUUAUUUGAUGCGUUUUUUAUUUUAAAAACUUUUUGUAAAGUUUGGAUCGGUAGUCAUCAUAACUUAAAAUUGUACGCAUUUGAAAAUUUGGGCUCUAUGCAAAGGAGAUUGAGAUUGCCCAAUAUUAUAUGAAAAUUAAACUUCUGACAAAGACGUUGAGAAAUGAGACUAGAAUGAGAAUGCUGAACAUAAGCCUUAACAAAACUUUUAUGUUUUAUGAAAA